GACGUAGGUGGCGAACGUUAUCCGGAAUUAUUGGGCGUAAAGGGUGCGUAGGUGGCCUGACAAGUUAUCAGUGGCAAAUCGAGGCUCAACCUCGUGGAAACUGGUAAUACUGUUCGGCUUGAGUACAGGAGAGGUUAACGGAACUCUAUGUGGAGCGGUAAAAUGCACAGAUAUAUGGAAAGAACAUCAAUAAAAGGCGAAGGCAGUUAACUAUUUCUGUUACUGACGCUGAGGCACGAAAAGCGUGGGGGAGCAAAACGG
rnacentral:rRNA from 1 species